rnacentral:rRNA from 1 species
UACGUAGUUAGCCGGGGCUUCUUAGUCAGGUACCGUCAUUAUCUUCCCUGCUGAUAGAGCUUUACAUACCGAAAUACUUCUUCACUCACGCGGCGUCGCUGCAUCAGGGUUUCCCCCAUUGUGCAAUAUUCCCCACUGCUGCCUCCCGUAGGAGUCUGGGCCGUGUCUCAGUCCCAAUGUGGCCGUCCACUCUCUCAAGCCGGCUACUGAUCGUCGCCUUGGUGAGCCGUUACCUCACCAACCAGCUAAUCAGACGCGGGUCCAUCCCAUAGCGAUAAAUCUUUGAAGAAAAGAACAUGCGCUCUCUCCUUGUUAUGCGGUAUUAGCAGCCGUUUCCAGCUGUUGUCCCCCUCUAUGGGGCAGGUUGCCCACGCGUUACUCACCCGUCCGCCACUCAGUCAUUACCAUCUUCCCUCCGAAAAGUUCCGUCGGUAGUGCUUCGUUCGACUUGCAUGUGUUAAGCACGCCGCCAGCGUUCAUCCUGAGCCAGGAUCAAA